CGAUCGCAUGGCCUUGCGCCGGCGAUGGUUCAUUCAAAUUUCUUCCCUAUCAACUUUCGAUGUUUGGGUAUUGGCCAAACAUGGUUGCAACGGGUAACGGAGGGUUAGGGCUCGACCCCGGAGAAGGAGCCUGAGAAACGGCUACUACAUCCAAGGAAGGCAGCAGGCGCGCAAAUUACCCAAUCCCGAUUCGGGGAGGUAGUGACAAUAAAUACUGAUACAGGGCUCUUUUGGGUCUUGUAAUCGGAAUGAGUACAAUUUAAAUCCCUUAACGAGGAACAAUUGGAGGGCAAGUCUGGUGCCAGCAGCCGCGGUAAUUCCAGCUCCAAUAGCGUAUAUUAAAGUUGUUGUAGUUAAAAAGCUCGUAGUUGAACCUUGGGCCUGGCUGGCCGGUCCGCCUCACCGCGUGUACUGGUCCGGCCGGGCCUUUCCCUCUGUGGAACCCCAUGCCCUUCACUGGGUGUGGCGGGGAAACAGGACUUUUACUUUGAAAAAAUUAGAGUGCUCCAGGCAGGCCUAUGCUCGAAUACAUUAGCAUGGAAUAAUAGAAUAGGACGUGCGGUUCUAUUUUGUUGGUUUCUAGGACCGCCGUAAUGAUUAAUAGGGACAGUCGGGGGGCAUCAGUAUUCAAUUGUCAGAGGUGAAAUUC
rnacentral:rRNA from 1 species